GGGGUGUGUGCUCAGAGACAGAGGAUGAUGAUGAACCCAGACCCCAGAUGAUGUGAACUUAAUUUGAAGAUGUUCCAGAAAAGGGUCACUCUUCAACUUAGAUUGAGAAACGAGGAAUAGAGCCACACAAAAUAAAGCUGCUACAGCCCAGUCCCAGCCAACAACUGCAGAACUGCAGGACAAGUCAUCUGGGUGCAACAGCUCACACCUGUAAUCCCAACACUUUAAGAGGAUUGCUUGAGGCCAGGAGUUUGAAACCAACCUGGACAACACAGUGAGACCCCAUCUCUACAAAACUACAACAUAAUACAAUAAUUAUAUUUAAAAAAUCUUAGAGAUGUACAUGAUUAGAACUUGAUUCAUGUGAACAAUGUUUUGUUUUUUCCAUUGGAAAAGCUUCUCCAUUACCUGGUG